rnacentral:rRNA from 1 species
AGCAGCCGCGGUAAUUCCAGCUCCAAUAGCGUAUAUUAAAGUUGUUGCAGUUAAAAAGCUCGUAGUUGAAUUUCGGGGUUAGUAGGUUGGUCAUGCCUCUGGUAUGUACUGGUCUCACUGAUUCCUCCUUCCUGAUGAGCCGUAAUGCCAUUAAUUUGGUGUUGCGGGGAAUCAGGACUGUUACUUUGAAAAAAUUAGAGUGUUUAAAGCAGGCUAACGCUUGAAUACAUUAGCAUGGAAUAAUGAAAUAGGACGUUUGAUCCUAUUUUGUUGGUUUCUAGGAUCGACGUAAUGAUUAAUAGGGAUAGUUGGGGGCAUUAGUAUUCAAUUGUCAGAGGUGAAAUUCUUGGAUUUAUUGAAGACUAACUACUGCGAAAGCAUUUGCCAAGGAUGUUUUCAUUAAUCUAAGAACGAAAGUUAGGGGAUCGAAGACG